rnacentral:rRNA from 1 species
AUUGAACGCUGGCGGCAGGCCUAACACAUGCAAGUCGAGCGGAGCGGCGGACGGGUGAGUAAUGCCUAGGAAUCUGCCGGGUAGUGGGGGAUAACGUCCGGAAACGGGCGCUAAUACAGCAUACUAUCAGAUGAGCCUAGGUCUGAUUAGCUAGUUGGUGGGGUAAAGGCCUACCAAGGCGACGAUCCGGAACUGGUCUGAGAGGAUGAUCAGUCACGCUGGAACUGAGAAUCGGUCCAGGCUCCUACGGGCGGCAGCAGUUGGGCAUAUUGGACAAUGGGCGAAAGUCUGAUCCAGCCAUGCCGCGUGUGUGAGGAGGGUCUUCGGAUUGUUAAGCACUUUGAGUUGGGCGGCGUUACCAGCAGAAUAAGCCCCGGCUAACGUCGUGCCAGCAGCCGCGGUAAUUC